UGGCGAUGAUGAUAACCAUUCCUAUCAUUUGCAGUUUCCACAGUAAAGGUGUAAGCCUUAAUGUUGCCUAAACCUUCCUUGGAUGUCUGAGCCA